GACGAACGCUGGCGGCGUGCUUAACACAUGCAAGUCGAGCGGUAAGGCCCUUCGGGGUACACGAGCGGCGAACGGGUGAGUAACACGUGGGUGACCUGCCUCUAGCUCUGGGAUAAGCCUGGGAAACUGGGUCUAAUACCGGAUAUGACUCCACGGCGCAUGUUGUGGGGUGGAAAGCCUUGUGUGGCUAGAGAUGGGCCCGCGGCCUAUCAGCUUGUUGGUGGGGAUGGCCUACCAAGGCGACGACGGGUAGCCGGCCUGAGAGGGCGACGGCCACACUGGGACUGAGACACGGCCCAGACUCCUACGGGAGGCAGCAGUGGGGAAUCUUGCGCAAUGGGCGAAAGCCUGACGCAGCGACGCCGCGUGAGGGAUGACGGCCUGG
rnacentral:rRNA from 1 species